UCUGUUAAGUCAGAGGCGAAAUCCCCGAGUUUAAAAUUAGGAACUGCAUUUUGAAACUGGCACUCGUAGAGGGAGGGUAAUGCCAGGUCUAGCGGUGAAAUGCGUAGAGAUAUGAAAGAAUACCGGUGGCGAAGGCGGGCCCCGUAGCCGAAGACUAACGCUCAGGUACGAAAGCGUGGGCAGCAAAAAAAAAUUAGAUACC
rnacentral:rRNA from 1 species